rnacentral:rRNA from 1 species
UUCGGCCUUAGUGGCGCACGGGUGCGUAACGCGUGGGAAUCUGCCCCUUGGUUCGGAAUAACAGUUGGAAACGACUGCUAAUACCGGAUGAUGACGUAAGUCCAAAGAUUUAUCGCCGAGGGAUGAGCCCGCGUAGGAUUAGGUAGUUGGUGUGGUAAAGGCGCACCAAGCCGACGAUCCUUAGCUGGUCUGAGAGGAUGAUCAGCCACACUGGGACUGAGACACGGCCCAGACUCCUACGGGAGGCAGCAGUGGGGAAUAUUGGACAAUGGGCGAAAGCCUGAUCCAGCAAUGCCGCGUGAGUGAUGAAGGCCUUAGGGUUGUAAAGCUCUUUUACCCGGGAUGAUAAUGACAGUACCGGGAGAAUAAGCUCCGGCUAACUCCGUGCCAGCAGCCGCGGUAAUACGGAGGGAGCUAGCGUUAUUCGGAAUUACUGGGCGUAAAGCGCACGUAGGCGGCUUUGUAAGUAAGAGGUGAAAGCCCAGAGCUCAACUCUGGAAUUGCCUU